rnacentral:rRNA from 1 species
GUGAGGAAUAUUGGUCAAUGGGCGAAAGCCUGAACCAGCCAUGUCGCGUGAAGGAUGAAGGUCCUAUGGAUUGUAAACUUCUUUUGCAGGAGGGUAAAGUGAGCUACGUGUGGUUCAUUGCAAGUACCCUGCGAAUAAGCAUCGGCUAACUCCGUGCCAGCAGCCGCGGUAAUACGGAGGAUGCGAGCGUUAUCCGGAUUUAUUGGGUUUAAAGGGUGCGUAGGCGGACUAAUUAGUCAGCGGUGAAAUUUUGCGGCUCAACCGUAAAACUGCCGUUGAAACUGUUAGUCUUGAGUGCGGUAGAGGUAGGCGGAAUGUGUGGUGUAGCGGUGAAAUGCUUAGAUAUCACACAGAACACCGAUUGCGUAGGCAGCUUACUGGAGCGCAACUGACGCUGAGGCACGAAAGCGUGGGGAUCGAGCAGGAUUAGAUACCCCGGUAGUCC